rnacentral:rRNA from 1 species
GACGUAGGGCGCGAGCGUUGUCCGGAUUUAUUGGGCGUAAAGAGCUCGUAGGCGACUUGUCGCGUCGUGUGUGAAAUCUCAGGGCUCAACUCUGACAUUGCAUACGAUACGGGCAGACUAGAGUGCGGUAGGGGAGACUGGAAUUCCUGGUGUAGCGGUGAAAUGCGCAGAUAUCAGGAGGAACACCGGUGGCGAAGGCGGGUCUCUGGGCCGUAACUGACGCUGGAGGAGCGAAAGCAUGGGGAGCGAACAGG